rnacentral:lncRNA from 1 species
GAAAAGCACCCGAGUGCCCUGACACUGGGCCCGUGCUGCCUCCCCUCUUCAGCCACUGCACUCCUUAAGGUAUUUUAUUGCUUAUGUCUUUUAGGACAUGUGAAAAAGGCUUAAAAUACACAAGACAAAUUAUCCAACGUAAUUCUCUGGAAAAUGUUGUGUAUCUUAAAUGCAGCCAAAGUGCAGAGUGUAUGCCAGUUGUAACAGUAAUCACUCAUUUUCUGUUUUGACCUAGCUGAGAAAUUACAGACUUGGAAAGCAGUAAUUUGAAUGUAAGAAUCUUUGUCGUUUCAAAGGUUUUAUUUUUUAAUUUUUAUUUUAUUUUUUUCCCCUUCUGGGAGCAGUAUGUACUGUGUGAGCUGUUUCUCCAUUUGUUCAGAACACGUCCUACUUAUCUGACCCUGCUCCCCAAAGGUAGUUAAUUUAUUGGAAAUACAUAAUUAUAUCUCUCUUCCUGUGCCAUAACUCUUCCUAUCAGCUAUUCACUGACAAAGCAGAAGUGGAACUGGUAAGGGUUAAACAUCAGAAGAUCAGUGAACAGCAGAAGAAUUUCUCACUGUUUCCAGGUCAAGUAUUCAUAGGUUGUUUUGUUUUGAGCUGUGGCUUCUAGACUUGGAUCAUGUCAACAUACAGAGCAGGGCUGACACUGAGACAUCCAUUUAAUAAAUAUUUACUUUUAUAUGUGUGUGUGAGUGUGUGUGCGUGUAUGCUUGCAUGUGUAUGUGUGUUCACCAUGCUCUCAUCCAAUAUCCAUCCUUAGUGGAUGGAUACAUCCCACUCUUUCAAAAGUGUCUUGCCCACAAAAUAAAUCCAGUACACAUAUUUACCAGAAACAAUACCCUGGAACGCAUUUGUGGUUGUAGAGUGCAUUUCAUAGCAUCCAGCUCUAAACUUGUAUUACUAUUUCUAUUUUUAACAGUAAGGUAGCCGCAUCACUCAACUGUUGGCACAAUGAACUGAAAUAGAAAAAAAUGCUCUUUGCACCACAGUCUCCACCAAUACAAGCUAUAUCUCAUCUCCUCCCAAGCCACAUCCAUGGCAGCCAGGCCACAAGGUGUAUGGCAAUGGAAAAUCUGGAGCAACCUGCAACAAGCUGUUUUAACUUCAUAGAACUGAACGAGGAAGGUUUCUCUUUCUGUGUUUUUGUCUCUUGGGUAACUAUGUUGUACCACUCUUGCAAUAAAGCUGAUUGAAUCUGAUUCUCAGAUUCAGCAUGUAAUUCAUCUAACAGCCAUUCACUGCUUUGUAUAUGACAAAACAAUAGAAUUCUCAUCUUGAUUAUGAUCCCUUAAUCUAAAACAACCGGCCGUAAUGGACGCUAACAUUUAAAUCUAUCCAAACCAGAAAAAUGACUCUUCAAACCGUUCAUUACUUAGAGAGUUAUGAUUUUGCUGCAAUCAUGUGAAGCUGGCAGACUGUUUAUAAAGAAAAGUUUCACCUGAAUUACUAUAGUUAAAAUCCUUUCCUCCAGGGAAAUGUGACCUAGAGAAAUGUUUCAUAUUAUCCCAGGAAAAAGAGCCAUGCUGAAAAGAUUAGAAAACAUCCCAUGCACACAUGCACACAUAUGCUUACAUGCACGCACACUCUCCCACCCCUAGCAGUACUGCGGGUAGCAGAAGGAACAGUGCACUUUCACAGACUCCUGCCUUGUGCUCAAAGGAAAUGCAGCAGACAUUUAAAUAUUUCCAAACCAAACAAGACAUCCUGAAGGAUUCUCCUCCUG